CCCCUCUCGGGGUGGCACCUGGAGAGUUUCCAGAAAUCUACCAGUCUCUACAACAAGAGGGAGAGUCAAGCAGAGGCCUACCCAUUCCGUUCCUAGCUUGGGCAUGGCUAGCGAGUGGAGGGCCAUCUGCUACAGGU